rnacentral:rRNA from 1 species
AGUGAACGCUGGCGGUAGGCCUAACACAUGCAAGUCGAACGGCAGCACAGUAAGAGCUUGCUCUUACGGGUGGCGAGUGGCGGAUGGGUGAGGAAUACAUCGGCAUCUACUUUUUUGGGGGGGAUAACGUAGGGCAACUUAUGCUAAUACCGCAUACGACCUACGGGUGUCAGCAGGGGAUCUUCUGAUUUUGCGCGUUCGAAUUAGCCUAUGUCGGUUUAGCUAGUUGGCGGGGUAAAGGCCCUCCAAGGCGACCAUCCGUAGCUGGUCUGAGAGGGGGAGCGGCCACACUGGAACUGAGACACGGUCCAGACUCCUACGGGAGGCAGCAGUGGGGGAUAUUUGACGAUGGGCGCGAGCCUGAUCCAGGCAUACCGCGUGGGUGAAGAAGGCCUUCGGGUUGUAAAGCCCUUUUGUUGGGAAAGAAAAGCAGCAGGUUAAUACCCCGCGGUUCUGACGGUACCCAGAGAAUAAGCACCGGCUAACUUCGUG